UAUGAAAUCUGAAAUUUAUUUGGCAAUAUUUGAGUGUGAAAUGGCAUAUUUUCCCUUGAAAAUGAAUAUGUAUGUUUUAUAGCCUUAAGGGCAAAAUGGUCAUUUGACCAUUAUUGAGUUAUAUUGAAUUUAAUGGAUUUUGAGAGAAAAUGAAUUGUAUUUUCUGGUAUUAUCUCUCUCUCACCCGAACUCUCUCUCUCCCUUUAACCCUUUCCAUUUUCAAAAUUGAAUUGUUGAGAAAUUGCUUGAAGUUGGGUGUGGAUUAAAGCUUUUGAAUUGUGGAUUCUUGAGCUUGGAAUUAGGAUUACCGGCACCUGGUCAGGAGCACCCGGGGAUUUGGAAUCUCUACUAUUGCGGGACAACAGGAAAGGGUAAGGCAAUAGCUGAUCAACCAUGAGUUUCAGGAGCAGACGAAGAAUGUACAUGUUCACGCCACUUCAGACCAAGCGGGUUAUGGGUCUAGCAGUGUUGACUUUUGUAUUCUGUUUUGCCGCUUAGGUCGGCUAGUAAGAAAGAACUUGUAAUAAUUUUGUAAUUAUUUUUGGGAUCCCAACUAUGUUUGAAAAGUUUAAAUAUAUUACAAGUUUAUUUUCAGUC